rnacentral:rRNA from 1 species
AACCAACAGGGAUUGCCUCAGUAACGGCGAGUGAAGCGGCAACAGCUCAAAUUUGAAAUCUGGCUCUUUCAGGGUCCGAGUUGUAAUUUGUAGAGGAUGUUUCGGGUGUGGCUCCGGUCUAAGUUCCUUGGAACAGGACGUCAUAGAGGGUGAGAAUCCCGUAUGUGACUGGUAGCCUAUGCUCAUGUGAAACUCCUUCGACGAGUCGAGUUGUUUGGGAAUGCAGCUCAAAAUGGGUGGUAAAUUUCAUCUAAAGCUAAAUAUUGGCCAGAGACCGAUAGCGCACAAGUAGAGUGAUCGAAAGAUGAAAAGCACUUUGGAAAGAGAGUUAAACAGUACGUGAAAUUGUUGAAAGGGAAGCGCUUGCAACCAGACUUGCAUGUAGCUGAUCAACCGGUGUUCUCACCGGUGCACUCAGUUGCGUUCAGGCCAGCAUCGGUUUCGACGGUUGGAUAAAGGCCUUGGGAAUGUAGCUUCUUUCGGGGAGUGUUAUAGCCCAGGGUGCAAUGCAGCCUGUUGGGACCGAGGACCGCGCUUCGGCUAGGAUGCUGGCGUAAUGGUUGUAAGCGACCCGUCUUGAAACACGGACCAAGGAGUCUAACAUCUAUGCGAGUGUUUGGGUGUCAAACCCAUACGCGUAAUGAAAGUGAACGGAGGUGAGAACCCUUAAGGGUGCAUCAUCGACCGAUCCUGAUGUCUUCGGAUGGAUUUGAGUAAGAGCAUAGCUGUUGGGACCCGAAAGAUGGUGAACUAUGCCUGAAUAGGGUGAAGCCAGAGGAAACUCUGGUGGAGGCUCGCAGCGGUUCUGACGUGCAAAUCGAUCGUCAAAUUUGGGUAUAGGGGCGAAAGACUAAUCGAACCAUCUAGUAGCUGGUCC